GCCUGGGUGGCUCAGUCGGUUGAGCGACCGACUUCAGCUCAGGUCAUGAUGUCAUGGUUUGUGAGUUCGAGCCCCACGUCGGGCU
rnacentral:tRNA from 1 species